rnacentral:rRNA from 1 species
GACGAACGCUGGCGGCGUGCCUCAAACAUGCAAGUCGAGCGAGGGGAGACCGAACCGCAAGGGGAGGUUGAACCUAGCGGCGAACGGGUGAGUAACACGUGGGCAACCUGCCCUUAAGACUGGGAUAACGGCUCGAAAGGGCCGCUAAUACCGGAUAAUGUCGUAAAGUCGCAUGGCUUUGCGAAGAAAGGGGAAACCCGCUUUUGGAUGGGCCCGCGUCCCAUCAGCUAGUUGGUAGGGUAAUGGCCUACCAAGGCGACGACGGGUAGCCGGUCUGAGAGGAUGGACGGCCACACUGGGACUGAGAUACGGCCCAGACUCCUACGGGAGACAGCAGUUGGGAAUAUUGGGCAAUGGGCGAAAGCCUGACCCAGCGACGCCGCGUGAGGGAAGAAGGCCUUCGGGUCGUAAACCUCUGUCAUUGGGGACGAAGGAAGUGACGGUACCCAAGGAGGAAGCCCCUGCUAACUACGUGCCAGCAGCCGCGGUAAAAGUCAACGUCG